GAUAUUUUCCAAAAAUAGGAAAGGACAUUUCUAUUCUGUUUGAUCAUGUUAAGAGAUCUUUCUAAAGAGAUUUAACCUAGAAGCAUGAAAGUCAAUCAAGGAACACCUAUCCCACUAUCUUUACCAUGAGCGUGGUCCCAAGCUCAGGCCAGCCUCCAGCCGGCAAGGAGCUGGGGGUGAACCCUGUGCAUUUCAGACAGAGCUGAGCUCCUACCUUUCCCUUCAUCCCCACUGAACAGAGAGAUGAAAUGGUUCCACUCUUUGGAACCACAGAUAAUUGAGAGAAUUUUGUAAAAUGGCUUUUUUCUGUUUCUUCCUUUUUUCAUCCUUGCUUCUCUUUACACCUGAAGCUUAAACGAGUGAUGUAUGUCGCUGGCUUUCCUUGUGGCCCCUCCUUUUGGAUAAGCCUCAGCCUUCUGGCUUGCCUGCCAGAGAAACUGGUUCGACACACCCAGGGGAAAAAUGACAGCUUUUCACAGCAAGCUGCUGGGCUCAUAAAUAGCUCAGGAAGCCUCCACACAGGUCCCAACCUGCCUCUUGCAAGAUGUCAGUACAGCCAGCCUGGUAGACAUCUUCGGGGAACUUCAGCAACUCUUUACAUAACUUUCUGGAUAGCAGCUUAAUCAUGUUUACAACCCAAACAGAUCACAGGUGACGUUUCUGCCAUUCUAAUGCCUACCAGUGAAUGACAGCUCACCUUCCUACUGCAGGCUGGGGGCAGGGGGGUCCUCUCUUCUUUCUCAGUGGCCCUGGGGGGCAGGAAAAGAGAAGAAAGGCAGAGUUAACCGGGAGGGAAGGUAGCUUCGUAAAGAAUGAGGUGUCCAAAAACCUGGCAAAAGGCCUGUUUUUUUAUGCCUUGAGGUAAGAAAGCCAACUGCUUUUCCUGGACCUUGCUGUAAGUUUCACACCGGGUUUUGCACAUGUCGGUUCUACUGUGAGCUGUGCGUGUGAGCCCCUAGACAGGAGUGACAAAGAUAAUCAGCAUAUUCCUUUAGGUGACGGGGAGUCCAAGUCCUGAGGCUCUUUUUUCCGGGGUCUGGUUUCCCGUUGGUAUGCCAUUCCUGUAGACAGCGGGCUCAAAGUUCAGAGUCCAUUGAGAGGGUGACCAGAGACACUUACAGAAAAAGGAAAUAGAGCUCAGCUUGCUAUCAAGGGCAGAGGGGCAGGUACAAGGCCACGAGGUAGUCGGCAUGAACCAGGAGACAAGCGGGAAGGACAGAGCUGCUACAAGCUACUGACUUCAUCGGACAGCAUUUAAAGAAGCAAAGCCACUCUGUUUUUCCCCGGAGAUGUGGACGGCGGUGUCGGGGAGGAGAUCACCGUGAAGCUGCGCAUCUCUCCGUGGUCCGAGGCGCGGGUGCAGCUCUCCACCUCUGAACUCUGGCUGGACGCUGCACAGAGGUGCCAGGAUGCCUCACCGAGGAAAGGGUAUGCCAGCCUUCCAGACUGAUAAGAGGAAAGUAAGCAGCAUCCAUUUCAGAAGGAAACUUGUCGUCACAAGGUCUUCGGACCAUGUUCACUGAACAAUGAUGGGUAAAGUGUCAAAAAAAUCCUUGCCUGAAUUUUCAUUUCUCUUGGAUUUUCCAAAUGUGUCUUCAGAGGUUCUUCCACCACACUUGCUUUCAGGAACAAACCCGUGGGAGGAGGUGAGGGCUCAGGGCAGAAAGUGGCCGGGGGGCUCCUUGGGUUCACAAACAUCUUCCUCUCUGCUGCCAUCCAGGAAUUCAUUAGGAUGGAGGACCAUUCCUAUGCCCUAAAGCUUUGGAUCUUUGGGGAUCUUCAGCUUAUUUUCAAAGGCUUAGCGAGCCCUAGAAUAUGGUCAUGAAAAUUGCUCAUCCAAGAGUCUGGAUACUAGAGAAAGUUCGAAAAUUGUUUACCAAGGACUUUGUUAAUGGUGACUCAGUUUA